AUUGAACGCUGGCGGCAGGCCUAACACAUGCAAGUCGAACGAGUUGCGGACGGGUGUGUAAUGUCUGGGAAACUGCCUGAUGGAGGGGGCUAACUACUGGAAACGGUAGCUAAUACCGCAUACCAUCAGAUGUGUCCAGAUGGGAUUAGCUUGUUGGUGGGGUAACGGCUCACCAAGGCGACGAUGCCUAGCUGUGCUGAGAGGAUGACCAGCCACACUGGAACUGAGACACGGUCCAGACUCAUACGGGAGGCAGCAGUGGGGAAUAUUGCACAAUGGGCGCAAGCCUGAUGCAGCCAUGCCGCGUGGAUGAAGAAGGCCUUCGGGUUGUAAAGUACUUUCAGCGGGGAGGCGUUACCCGCAGAAGAAGCACCGGCUAACUCCGUGCCAGCCGCCGCGGUAAUUC
rnacentral:rRNA from 1 species